CCUUCCCUUCCCUUCCCUUCAUUCCCAUCCCCUUCCAUUCCCUUCCCUUCCCUUCAUUCCCAUCCCCUUCCCUUCCUUUCCCUUCCCUUCCCUUCCCGUCCCUUCCCGUCCCUUCCCAGAUUUCGCCAGCCACUCCGCUCUCGUAAAACUAUCUAAAAAAUGUGUUGAGAAGAAACUUUUGGUGAAGUUUCUGAUUCUAAAGAUUUAAAUGUGUGUUUAUGAUUAUGCUAAAGUGAUUCGGAAAGGGAGAGAGAGAGAGGAAGGGAGAGAGAAGGGAGAAGGGAGAUGAGUGUGUUUGGUAUGUGAUUUUAACCCCUCUUCUUCUCUCCCUUCCUCCUCCCUUUCUUUCCUUCAGGGAGAGAAAGGGAGAGAUGGAGAAAGAAAGGGAGAGAAAGAGAAAAGGAUGUGUGUGUGUGUGUGUGUGUGUGUGUGUGUGUGUUUGUUUGUUUGUACCGCCUCUCUCCCUCUCUCUCCCUCUCUCUCCGUUUCCUCCUCCUCCUCCUCCUCCUCUUCUCUCCCUCUUUUCUCUCCUCCUCCCUCCAUCUUUGCAAUGUUGUCACGGUCUGAUGUGUUUGUAUGGCUGUAUGUUAUGUGUAUAUGUGUGUAUAUGUAUGUAUGUAUGUGUGUGUAUGUGUGUAUGUUUUAUCGUUAGUGAAGUCGUCCUAUGCACUAUUGUGAAUCAUGCGAGGUACACACACACACACACACACACACACACACACACACACACACACACACACACACACACACACACACACACACACACACACACACACACACACACACACACACACACACACACACACACACACACACACACACGAAGGUCUGUCGAAGGAACACAGUGCUGUACUAGAAUUAAGAGAGAGAGAGAGAGAGAGAGAGAGAGAGAGAGUGUCCAUGCCUUGUCUGUCAUUAGAUAUCUUAAUUAGUGGAUAUUCGUAGCUGGGAUUACUGAUUGGCCGCACACGUGAAUACCUGAGAAAACUACACCUGUCUUGUGAUAAUUAGGAUAAGGGGAAGGGGUACUGAGCCUGUCUGUCUUCGGUAUAUCGUUGGUAGGGUUGUGUGUGUGAGUGUGCUUGGUAUUCUAAGACACUCGCCUCUCUCAACAGCUAUUUCUAAAGGUCAAAGAGGGGGUCAGUCGGGUUCUAAUGAGUGUUUCUUCAGGUUCAUGGUACAGAAGAAGACUCACACUACCACCAGGGUCAUAAAACUACCCUUGGAAAUGCCCACAACUCCUACGAAAGCCUUGUCAAAUGUGUGUUUCUUAGGGUCUUGGUACAGAAGAAGACUCACGCUACCACCAGGGUCAUAAAACUACCCCUGGAAAUGCCCACAACUCAUACGAAAGCCUUGUCAAAUGUGUGUUUCUUAGGGUCACGGUACAGAAGAAGACUCACACUACUUCCAGGGUCAUAAAACUACCCCUGGAAAUGCCCACAACUCCUACGAAAGCCUUGUCAAAUAUGUGUUCUUGGGCUGCGAUUUGUCUUGUAAUACGACCCAGUGUGUUUUAACGACUCGAUUUGUGGUCUUCUUUUGCGCCCCGGAUUGUAGUUUUUUAUUGAUUUUUAUUUGGAGUUUUUUUGUUCUUCUUUAUUGUAAUUUGUGAUCUUCGGCCUCCCUGAUUUUUUAUUUUUUUUAUUUGAGUUUUUUGUUUAUAUUCUUCCUAUUUUAUUUCCUAUUUUCUUUUUUUAGUUGCUUUUCAUUGAUUUUAUUUCAGUUUUACCUUCAAAAGCUCGCAACCCCAAUUUCCGUUUUCUAUAUUGUUUUGUAUUUUAUUUUUUUGUUUAUAUUUUCUUCAUUCUUUUCUCUCUUUUUCCUAUUUUCUUUAUCUUUUUAGUUGCUUUUCAUUGAUUUUAUUUCAGUUUUACCUUCCAAAAUUCGCAACCCCAAGUAUCCCGUUUUCUUUAUUGAUUUUAUUUGAGUUUUACCUUCCAAAGUUCGCAACCCCAAAUAUCCCGUUUUCUUUAUUCAUUUUAUUUCAGUUUUACCUUCCAAAGUUCACACACUCAAAUAUUCCCGUUUUCUUUAUUGAUUUUAUUUGAGUUUAACCUAAAAUUCGC